rnacentral:rRNA from 1 species
UACGUAGGGGGGCAAGCGUUGUCCGGAUUUAUUGGGCGUAAAGAGCAUGUAGGCGGCCUGGUAGGUCAGCUGUGAAAACUCGAGGCUCAACCUCGAGACGCCGGUUGAAACCAUCAGGCUAGAGUCCGGAAGAGGAGAGUGGAAUUCCCGGUGUAGCGGUGAAAUGCGCAGAUAUCGGGAAGAACACCCGUGGCUAAGGCGGCUCUCUAGUACGGUACUGACGCUGAGACGCGAAAGCGUGGGGAGCGAACAGG